rnacentral:rRNA from 1 species
UACGUAGGGGCUAGCGUUGUCCGGAUUUAUUGGGCGUAAAGAGCGUGUAGGCGGCCAUUUAGGUCCGGUGUGAAAACUCGAGGCUUAACCUCGAGAUGUCAUCGGAAACCAUUUGGCUAGAGUCCGGAAGAGGAGAGUGGAAUUCCUGGUGUAGCGGUGAAAUGCGCAGAUAUCAGGAAGAACACCAAUGGCGAAAGCAGCUCUCUGGGACGGUACUGACGCUGAGACGCGAAAGCGUGGGGAGCGAACAGG